CACGUAGGGUGCGAGCGUUGUCCGGAAUUAUUGGGCGUAAAGAGCUCGUAGGCGGUGUGUCGCGUCGGCCGUGAAAACCUGCAGCUUAACUGUGGGCUUGCGGUCGAUACGGGCAUCACUGGAGUUCGGCAGGGGAGACUGGAAUUCCUGGUGUAGCGGUGAAAUGCGCAGAUAUCAGGAGGGAACACCCGGGUGGGCGAAAGGCGGGGUCUCUGGGGCCGGAUACUGACGCUGGAGGAGCGAAAGCGUGGGGAGCGAACAGG
rnacentral:rRNA from 1 species